AAAUCUCAUACGGUAAUUUGGAGAAGAAUGGGGAAAUUUCUUGAUGGAAAUGGUUUUUCGCGCACCUGCGUGAUUUUCCAAAACCCAGUACCCGAAUUGCCGUCUGGGGUGGCC
rnacentral:pre_miRNA from 1 species